rnacentral:tRNA from 1 species
GGGAAGGUAGCUCAGUGGUAGAGUGCUUGCCUUGCAUGCAUGAGGUCCUGGGUUCGAUUCUUCAGCACCA